AUUGAACGCUGGCGGCCGGCCUAACACAUGCAAGUCGAGCGGAGCGGCAGACGGGUGAGUAAUGCCUAGGUAUCUGACUGGUAGCGGGGGAUAACGUCCGGAAAAGGACGCUAAUAACGCAUCCUAUCGGCUGCGCCUAGGUCGGAUUAGCUAGUUGGUGGGGUAAAGGCCUACCAAGGCGAAGAGCAGUAACUGGUCCGAGAGGAUGAUCAGUCACACUGGAACUUAGACCCGGUCCAGAUGCCGACGGGAGGCAUCAGUGGGGAAUAUUGGACAAUGGGCGAAAGCCGGAUCCAGCCCUGCCGCGUGUUUGAAGAAGGUCUUCGGAUUUUAAAGCCCUUUAAGUUAGGAGGCGUUACCAACAGAAUAAGCACCGGCUAACUUCGUGCCAGCAGCCGCGGUAAUUC
rnacentral:rRNA from 1 species